GCAGAGUGCCACUCAGCUGGCAGACACUGUCCAGAAAUCAGCUUUCAACUACAACUGGCUUCAAAAGUGAUCUACACUGUCCCAUCCCCAGAUAAAGAAUGCUAAGACCCUAUCAAGGACUUGACAGGGACGCAUAGGACAAGGGAGAGUGAAGAACCAGCCUGCCUCCAUUUUAGGCUUACAAUAAAGACAAAUUAGGUUCCUUCCUAUUUAUAAUCAAACCUCUGUUUCUCAAGGAUUGGGCCAUGCCCCACCUAAACCUUAACUACAAAUGGUUCUGUACUGCCU
rnacentral:lncRNA from 1 species